rnacentral:rRNA from 1 species
UGGGGAAUUUUGGACAAUGGGCGAAAGCCUGAUCCAGCAAUGCCGCGUGUGUGAAGAAGGCCUUCGGGUUGUAAAGCACUUUUGUCCGGAAAGAAAUCCUUGGCUCUAAUACAGCCGGGGGAUGACGGUACCGGAAGAAUAAGCACCGGCUAACUACGUGCCAGCAGCCGCGGUAAUACGUAGGGUGCAAGCGUUAAUCGGAAUUACUGGGCGUAAAGCGUGCGCAGGCGGUUUGCUAAGACCGAUGUGAAAUCCCCGGGCUCAACCUGGGAACUGCAUUGGUGACUGGCAGGCUAGAGUAUGGCAGAGGGGGGUAGAAUUCCACGUGUAGCAGUGAAAUGCGUAGAGAUGUGGAGGAAUACCGAUGGCGAAGGCAGCCCCCUGGGCCAAUACUGACGCUCAUGCACGAAAGCGUGGGGAGCAAACAGGAUUAGAUACCCUGGUAGUCCACGCCCUAAAACGAUGUCAACUAGUUGUUGGGGAUUCAUUUCCUUAGUAACGUAGCUAACGCGUGAAGUUGACCGCCUGGGGAGUACGGUCGCAAGAUUAAAACUCAAAUGAAUUGACGGGGUCAUAGCUGUUUCCU